UGGGGAAUAUUGCACAAUGGGCGCAAGCCUGAUGCAGCCAUGCCGCGUGUAUGAAGAAGGCCUUCGGGUUGUAAAGUACUUUCAGCGGGGAGGAAGGGAGUAAAGUUAAUACCUUUGCUCAUUGACGUUAUCCGCAGAAGAAGCACCGGCUAACUCCGUGCCAGCAGCCGCGGUAAUACGGAGGGUGCAAGCGUUAAUCGGAAUUACUGGGCGUAAAGCGCACGCAGGCGGUUUGUUAAGUCAGAUGUGAAAUCCCCGGGCGCAACCUGAGAACCGCAUCUGAUACUGGCAAGCUUGAGUCUCGUAGAGGGGGGUAGAAUUCCAGGUGUAGCGGUGAAGUGCGUAGAGAUCUGGAGGAAUACCGGUGGCGAAGGCGGCCCCCUGGACGAAGACUGACGCUCAGGUGCGAAAGCGUGGGGAGCAAACAGG
rnacentral:rRNA from 1 species